GUUCUUUUCAAUUUCUUCAGUCCUUAUAACAUUACCAGUGGGACCAUCCAUGAGGAUUAUGCUCCUUUGAGUGUUGAAGCAUCUGGAGUGGUGUAAAUAUUUGUAGGUGCUUUACCAUACCACCCAUCUGUAAAGGGUUAUCACGUAUUGAAUCUACGAUAUCUUGUGACUUAGUAAUUCAUGUUUAGGAUUUCUUGUUGAUGGAUGCAGUUGGUUCUGCUUCAUUGGUCUACUUAGAAGUAUGGAUGUUUGUCCCGACAGUCUUCUUAGAAGUAUGUUUGUGUCUGUCAACAUGUGUUUCAUGCUUGAUGCUCUGGCUAACUGUAUUCUGUAACAUAUCCAGCUUAUAUAUUUAGCUAUGUUUCAUUUUAUUGCAAUGAUCCCUUUGCAUAUCUACUUUGGUUGGUUUGGGCAAAUUGCUGCCAAAUGGGUUAGGCCAUAAA